rnacentral:tRNA from 1 species
GCCUGGGUGGCUCAGUUGGUUGAGUGUCUGACUUCAGCUCCAGCCAUGAUCUCUCUGUUUGUGGGUUCGAGCCCCACGUCGGGCU